rnacentral:rRNA from 1 species
AGUGAACGCUGGCGGUAGGCCUAACACAUGCAAGUCGAACGGCAGCACAGUAAGAGCUUGCUCUUACGGGUGGCGAGUGGCGGACGGGUGAGGAAUACAUCGGAAUCUACUUUUUCGUGGGGGAUAACGUAGGGAAACUUACGCUAAUACCGCAUACGACCUACGGGUGAAAGCAGGGGAUCUUCGGACCUUUCGCGUUUGUAUUAGCCGAUGUCGGAUUAGCUAGUUGGCGAGGUAAAGGCCCACCAAGGCGACGAUCCGUAGCUGGUCUGAGAGGAUGAUCGGCCACACUGGAACUGAGACACGGUCCAGACUCCUACGGGAGGCAGCAGUGGGGAAUAUUGGACAAUGGGCGCAAGCCUGAUCCAGCCAUACCGCGUGGGUGAAGAAGGCCUUCGGGUUGUAAAGCCCUUUUGUUGGGAAAGAAAAGCAGCAGGUUAAUACCCCGCUGUUCUGACGGUACCCAAAGAAUAAGCACCGGCUAACUUCGUG